CCUACGGGAGGCAGCAGUGGGGAAUAUUGGACAAUGGGGGCAACCCUGAUCCAGCCAUGCCGCGUGUGUGAAGAAGGCCCUCGGGUUGUAAAGCACUUUCAGUGAGGAAGAACGCCUGGUGGUUAAUACCCAUCAGGAAAGACAUCACUCACAGAAGAAGCACCGGCUAACUCCGUGCCAGCAGCCGCGGUAAUACGGAGGGUGCGAGCGUUAAUCGGAAUUACUGGGCGUAAAGCGCGCGUAGGUGGCUUGAUAAGCCGGUUGUGAAAGCCCCGGGCUCAACCUGGGAACGGCAUCCGGAACUGUCAAGCUAGAGUGCAGGAGAGGAAGGUAGAAUUCCCGGCGUAGCGGUGAAAUGCGUAGAGAUCGGGAGGAAUACCAGUGGCGAAGGCGGCCUUCUGGACUGACACUGACACUGAGGUGCGAAAGCGUGGGUAGCAAACAGGAUUAGAUACCCCAGUAGUC
rnacentral:rRNA from 1 species